CUGUGACACUUGGCGCUAGUGACGUUUUUACAAAGUUAAACGAGUAUGCUCGAUAAAUAUCGAACGUAUUGUAGUCGUCUUAAUGGUGCCGGUGUGCUUGCACGCGUUUCUCUUGCAAGUCUCGUUUGUUUUGGUUAAAGUUCGCCAUUAAUCGAAACUGCUAAUAAGGAAUUCAUUUUAUACGCGCUUAUCGGUAUCCAUCAUGUAUAGAAGACAUCCAGCAUCUCCGGCAUGUGUUUGCUGCGAACUGGGGGGACAUCAGGGUAGUUCACCAUCAUUUCACUGCGUUUGGGCGGUAACUUACCGAGUAGCAGAGAUCAAAAAGAUAAACAACGUUGGUGCCCAGAAGAAGUUUGUGAGUGACCGAUCCAUGGAGUUUGCAAUACCUAUAGCGGAAGUGUUGGAGAUGCGCGUACUUUAAGGCAAGUCUUUAAAAGCUAUGUAUGUAUUUUUAAAAGUUAUUAAUAAAACACUUAUUACAUUUAUAA